UUUUUUUUUUUUUUUCCCUCUUUUGUUUUUGGUACAAAAAUGGUACAAACAACAAUACAAAAUAUUUGUGCUGUUGACGGUUACAAAAAAAGGUUUUUGAACUGGAUUAACGGACGCAAACUGCUUUUGCGCUUCAGCGUGAAUACAGCAGAAGUCUUCCUUGAGAACAACCACAGUCAUGCGGGCUGCUACACAGCUUCUCCAUCGGAAAAGGAAACAUGCAAAAUCAGAAUUGAAAGAAGAGAAAGUGCUCCAGUUACACAUCUAUAUGUUCUGGUUGCUUUUUGCCCCUAUUUGAUUUGUAGCUUCAAGCACUAACUACACUAUGUACACAGUGUGUGAGCAAUUGCAUAUGGGGUCGGUGUGUACUGGAAAGAACUUUUAUUUUCCCCAUGGAACUGAGUUAACUUUGCGUGGGAGACACCUACGUUGUCUAGCUGCUGUUUUAAACAUAUGCAUUCAUCGUUAUACAGCAUUCCCCCUCCCCCCCCGUUUUUUUUCCACAGUUACAAUGAAGAGCUCCAAAAGACAUCACAAAUAAAAAAGUCCCGUAUUUUACCUUUGUUGGUUUUUCUUUUUUUUGAGACUAAACAAAGUUGCAAUCUUGGCAUAUUGUGUUGUACAGACCCUGCACUGACCAAUAUCAUUCUCCAAUGCCUGACCGUCUACCCUAUGCGAAGCAGCUGCAGGUGAUACAGCCAUCUCCUAGAGUCCCACUUAUUCCUGGAGGCUGGAUUUGGACCUAACUAUCCCUAAAACCCCUAUGAGAGAAGCCCAAAGUGGCUCAGCUGCAGGGGAGUGAACUCCCCACCAUCACUACCUUACAUCCACCAAUGGCAUUGCCCGGUCCAACAAAAAAGGAAAAAACAUAAAGUAUGGAAAAUGCAAACCCAGAAGCCAAGCUAUGAAUGACUAGCACAUAGGACACCUAGAACAGGCUUGCCUGUUCACUGUCAUUAAUUACCUGCUGAGUCUCCUCUUUGCCUUGAACAGCAUUUCUGUGACUGAUGCUUCUCCCUGUUUACAGGCUACAUAAUAAAUAGGCUGCACUGAGGUGUGGGCCCCACUCUGCCAGCGUCAGACCUGCAUGGUCCUUGGCUUGGUGAUGUGCAAUCUUCAUGCCUAGGAGGUGUCCAGUGUGCCCCAAUGCCCUGGCAGCUCACUGUCCCUGUCCCUUAGUGCAGAGAGCUGCUGUGGUGUCCCCUGGCAGUGCUAUGGGCUAUGGGGGUGACAGUGGUAUUUUGGGAACGGGCUCGCCUCCACCUGCCUGAAAGCAAGUCCUUCCCCACCAGCACAUGGUGCGCAGAGUGGGGACUUGCAUGUGUGGGCAUCACUUCUUUAAUUAGUUUAAGUUAAGUUUAAUGUUUAGUUUAGAUUAGUUGGAGAACAAGGAUUCUGGUCUCAAUGUGUUAACCACUUUUGUGGCCUGAAUUGUGCCUUCAGACAGAGUUGCUGUUUCCCCGGCCUGGCUCCUUGUAAGCCACUUGUCACCUCACUGUCACUGUCAAGUGGUGAAUGGCAAUGGUGAAUGAGCAUCAGAGUGGGGGGACAGAGCACUGACACAGUCACCUUUUCAAUGGGGUCCCUUGGAUUAAUGUAAAUUUUCUCAGCUGGAUUAUAAACCAUAAGUACUAUUAACAAGCAAAAAUGUUUGCAAGCACUGAUCUGUUUUCAUUGCUCGAUGUGCUCCUCGCUUACCUUCUGCUGUUCCCACUGCAAGGAAAGGGGCCUGAUGCUGCUGCUUACUUGUGGGGCUGUAAAGCUCAGUGAUGGAGGGAGGAGGAGGAGGAAGAGGAAGAGGAAGAGGAGGAGGAGGUCCUGGAGAGGGAGGUUGAGCAGAACUGGGUCAAAAGACAAUAAACUACUUGGUUUGAUUUAUGGGCUUGUGGAGUGGAAUGGCUGGAUUGCAAACGCUACAGAAAAAAUAUCUGCUGAUUUAAAAAAAAAUAGUCACCAAUGGAAACAGGUUGAUUUAUUUUUAAUCACUCAAACAGUUUUGUUUGACUUAAGUUGCAUAAAUGUUCUUAAAAGCCCAAAAUGUUUAGACAAGCUGAAGUCUGACAAUGUCACCUUCAUGGCCAAGUGGUUCCUGUCAAUGCAUGGCACGCCCCGCCGGGUGACAGCGGGGCGAUGCUGACUGGCCCUCCAGCCUCCAGCCCUGCAGCAGCCAUCCCACACUGCUGCCGGUCCCUUCCCUACCUGAAAACCAUCACAUCAGCCAAAGCCGCAGCAGAUGAUAGCAGGAACCAAACGCUCUGCAGCAGGGACUUACUUAGCUACUGCUCUUGAGUAAGUGGUGCCAGGUAGAUUGCACAGCUUGGCUUGCAGUGGAGACCCAACUGGCAUUGUGGGAUCCACAUGAGCAUCCCAGGAGUCGCCCAAGAGCUGGCAGGCAGCAGCAGCAACCCAAUGGAUAGAGAACCAUCAGCAUCACCCCGGCCCACGAGCUGCAUCCUUCUCUUGAGUUGGAGAUGAGGUUACAGUGAUGGACACAAAACACUGACGGGUAGUCAUUAGCAAGAAACACUAAGUGCAUUUUUAUUAUUCAGUACUUCUGCUGUGACUGGGCAGCUUCUGUGGAGGUGCAAAGCCCAGAUGGUGAAAUACUUCAGCCCGUGGCUUUUCGGAAAGAAAGGGGAAGAAUUAAGCCUGCCCGUGGGAAGAGAGCAGUGGCUCAGGGCAAUGCAGCCCACCUGCGCCAGCCGGCUGAGAACAGGGGCUGUGAAGUUUGCUGAGGGUGGCCAGGAGGAAGUGUACAGUAUGUGGCAGAAGCAAGCUAAGACUUUCAUAGUGGUCACACAAGCAACUGAGUUCUCAGCUAUGGAACAGGAAUUUGGGAAGGUGUCAGGUGCCAGCAGUUUGCCAGGCACUGCGCUUCAUCUUGGCUGAGGCAUGUGCUGUGUGGCACAAUGUCCUCACCUUGCUGCUGCCAUCAGUGCUGUCCCACUCCUGAGGCCCAAGCCAUCACCUCCUGCUUCCUCAAGAAACUUGGGUGAGAGAGCUGUGAAAGGACAAACUGACCCAUCGACUGACUGACCAGGACAAAAAGAAAGAUCGCAUCCUUGGUAGUUAUUUACAUACCGGUAAUGUUGGAGUCCCCUCGGGCAGACUUUUACCACAUUCCACUUCAUACAAGACACAUUUCAAAUGCUCAUUAAUUUACAGAAAUUGCAUUUUAUAGAAAAUAUGAUACAAUGAAAUAUAAAAUGCACCAGGAGCAUUUCAAAAAUCUAUAGAGACGAUCUUGCAGCCUAGUAUACCCUCUGAAACGACGUCCACUCAUCACCGCAAGCUCUCGUCCUCUCAUUCUCGCUUCCCUCCCACCCCCCUUUAAACUCUUAGCAUUCAACUUGAGAAUUAAUAGAGAUAUCAAAAAAAGCAUGAUUAUCCCCUGGAUAAUCACCUUCCAAUAUUGUGCACAUUCUUGGAUUUAAAUGAAAAUAUAUCUAAGCACUUUUACAAGUUUUAGCGAACCCACUGCAAAAUCGUCUGCAGAAUAUAAAACACAGGUAAUCCAAGAUUUCAUAGCACAUUAAUUAAGUGGCUCAUAAUCCAUUAAAUGUGGUUUAUAUUACACAUCCAUGCAGUCUAAAUCAUUUUACAAACAUUAGACAUAAACCCACUAGUCCAAAUCAGUAAAGGAAAAAUGUAAUAAAAAAGCUAAUAACUAUUUGUUAUUGGUUAAACUGACCCUACAUAUAAACUAGGUAGUAUGCUACCAUUUAUAAUACUGAUGUUGAAUUAUGCCUGGAUGCUGCAAAACCUCUUGCUUACUUGGCAAUGCUUGAGCAUAUUAACCACAAGAUACUUAACAGGCCCUCGUUGCCCUUCUCCUCCAAAAAACCACAUUUACUACAGAUAGCAGCGCCUACCCAUCAAAUAGAAAGGACACACAUUAGCUGAGUUACACAAUAUUGUUGAGCUUUGGCUACUAAUGCUCCAAGGCAUUAAUAUUGUACUAGACUAACUUCAUACUUACGGAUGGCAA
rnacentral:lncRNA from 1 species